GAGAAGACACAGUGUUCCAUCCAGAGGAUGUAGCAUCAAGGCGUCAUCUUAAAAGCAGAGAAAAGACUCUUACUUGACACCAGAUGCCAGUGCAUUGAUCUUGGACUUCCCAGCCUCUAGAACUGUAAACAGCCCUGGGACAAAGAACAGACUACGGGUAUUGCCUUCUUAAUCAACAAUAAAGUAUUAGUUGGCUUCCAGGCAGACACCACUGACUUUCAAGAGAAAGGCACGGGAGUAAGGAAGUAAAGAAUUCAGGUGCUGCUUGAAAAUACAACAAACUGUCUUCAGAAUACUUUUAUGUGUUGUUGAAAGAAAGCACUGCAGCUAAUAUAGCUACAAAGGAGAAACAGUUAUUCUUAAAUGUCAUCUAUUUGCUGGACCUGAACAGGAAUUCACUAUGGAGCUCAUACAACUACCACCUUCAGCUAUUAAUCAAGGAGUCAUUCAACUGAGAAAGGGGAGAUUGAGAUGUUGAAUCAUUUCUCAUUCUGUGAAGUCUACCAGAAUAACCCAUAAAGCAAAUAUCAACCUAUUUCAAUUAGAAAAAUGAAAAAUACUGAUACAGCAGACGAAUUCUGGAACUAACACUUCCACAAAUCAUUGAUAAUCCAUUUUCCAACUUCUUCAAAUUCCAGACCAUCAACAAGCUAUUCAAAACAAUAAAUGUUAAUAGUUUUGGUGGAGUUAAGCAGCAGAAGUUAAAAGCAUUGUGGAAGACAGUAUGGUGAUUCCUCAAGGAUCUAGAAGCGGAAAUACCAUUUGACCCAGCAAUCCCAUUAUUGGAUGUACUGUUCCAUCUGGAAGUCAAGAUUGGUGCCACCUAAGUGGGUUCCUGCUGCAAGGAACUUAAGGACAUCCUCCUUCAUUUGCAGGACAUCAAGGGCUCCGGACAUUGUGAAAGUUUCCCUUUAAGUUACGACGGGAAUCCAGAACAACGCCGUAUGGACCCCUCUGCAGGUAGCAAGGAAAAGCGCCAGUAACUUUUAAAGGCUUGUUUUGCAUAUUAUUCAGGCCUAAAUCACGGUUCUCAUAAAUUGAUUAUCAUGUCCCUUUCAUCUGUCCAUUUAUGCUUCUAAAUGGUUCUUAAUGGUUCACUAUAUUUGAAGGCCAUAACCAUUUGCUGAUGAGUUACUAGUUUAAUUUGUCACUAUUUCUCCAAUACAUAUAUGUAAGUGCUUAUCGUCUUUUAAUCCUAGAUAUUCUUCUGGAAGUAAUAAUAAAAGUUGAAAGCUGGAAGGAAAAUAA
rnacentral:lncRNA from 1 species